CACUCUUCCAGAAACAGACUCUAAUUACUAUUGAAUUUGCAGAACUCCAUGUGCCAAUUUUAGCAUAAAUGGAAUGCAGAAUUAAAAGAUAAUUUUGAAGUCAGUUAUAUGUUCUGCCUGGGAAAAAUAAUCUAAAUACAUAUGAAUAAUUAUGUAUAUACUAAUAUCCCUUCACUCUGAUAAUGCAUGUUCCAUCCUAUUGCUUAGGGAAGAAAAGUUUACAAUCCCAUCACUUUAUAUAUGCACAAUUUACUUUCCUAUUUUUAAUUCUUUCCACUUAUCACCAUUUGACAAAAUUUACUUGUGUAUAUAUGUCUUAUUAUUGCAGCCUCCGAAGAAUAUAUGCUUCAUGAGAGCAGGGACCUCUGUCUGAUGUUGAUCACUAUGAGUUCGUGCCUGACUCAUACAUAGCUAGAACAUGGGCAAAGUGCUAGUGAAGCAGCUCCAGCCAUGCAAGAGAAGACUUCACCCUAGGAGACGGUGGACAAGAAAAAGAAAGGAAACCAGAUUCCAGGAUGAUCUCAUUGAACAGGGCUAACCACUGCCUUGGACCAUCCACCUACCUCUAGACUAUCACAUCUGACACUUGCUCCUGUCCCAUCUCCUGGUCUUUCCCCACUUCUUCAAAACUGACAGACAAUAAAGGUGUGAGGAUGGAUCAUGUCCAUCACCCGGCAGAAGAGGUUGGCAAGAGGUAGGCCAAUAGCAGUAAACUGAGAAAAAACUGACGAUUCAGUGAAGUUAUGACACUGUCAUCCAGAAUGAACCAAAUGUUCCAACAUAAAGGUACUUUCUCUGGAGUUAUUUCUGCUAAAACACUGAAGGAUUGUAUAUUCUGCUUCUAUGGGGGAAGAAGCUGCUUGCUGAAAAAAUUCGUGUAUAUGUUUUGUGAUGUGUCUCUACGUGUAUGGGGACGAUGAUGUGACACAGGUUCUGUGAUCUUGAGUGAUACAUUAUCACAGUAUAUGGCUGUGAAUAAGGAAUACUAAAAAUUAAUCCUUAUUAAAAUUGUCAGAAGGUUGAAAACCACAUACAGAAUUAAUCAAAUGCUGUUUAUUCAGAGCUAACUCUAGUAAAAAGUCAGCUACUAUCUGUUUAGUUCUGGUAGACUGGAAGGGGCUUGAAAGGAGAGUAAAUUUUAUAGAGCAAAAGGAGAAUAUUUUAAGAAAGUCUUUGAUUGGUCAGUGUUCUGUUAAGGUGGGAUUUUCUAGUGGGUGGGAUUUGGGGAAAUAAGAUGAGGAGACUUUCCGAUUGGCUUUUGGCAGCUUUAGAUUGGUUCUCUAUACUGGCACAUUGCUUAAAGAUCUCCAGGUAGGUUAGGGCCAUAUGGGUUUUCCUGUUUCAAUAAAAGACUAUCCGGUCCUCUGCUUUAGGGUUCAAGCAAUUCACAAAGGUAAAUUAUUUUUCCAAUAAUUCACUUUUAAUGACUUUUUAAUUUACUUUUAUUGCCUCAUACACCACAUACUGUAUAAGCUUUUACAAAAAUAGUGAUUAUUUCCAUUGUUCAGAAACUCCUUACUCAAGCACUAUAUAAAAGUUUGUGAAUAAAGUGCUAAAAAUAGUACAAUAAAAAAAAUUUUGAAAAAAAAUAAAAUAAUAAUUUUUGGUUUAAUUAUAUUAUAAAUUAAUAAGACCACUAAAAUGUUAUGACAAACAGGUAUAGUUCAUUAUUUUCACUCUAACUGCAUGACAUUUGAAAAAUAACAAUAAUCCCAGGAUGUGUAUCUCUAAUCUGAUGAUCUCCAUUCCUUACCAAGUCCUCAAUUUGUUUCUUUGCUCUUUGGAGACAAAGUUCCCUAGGGUGGUUGUUUGUCUGUUUGUUUAUUUUUCUUUUUAAUUUAUCAACAAAGAACAGCUUUUUUUUUUUUUUUUACUCUUGUUGAAAUGGUAUUUUAACAUUUUUUUAAAAUUAUUGUUCCUUCCCACAUAUCAAGAUGACCAUAACCCUCCCUGCCAAUUGUUAGGAAGACUGCUGCAAUUUCCCUUUCCUUUCUUUAGUUGCAUCAAAUACUCUAAUCAUCUUAUUCGGCAUAUUGGUCAGGGAUGUCUUCUCUAUGCCCUUCAGCUAUGUCUCUUCCCACAACCACUCUAAACCUUUUAACUUUUUACAGAUGUAAAUGCUGAAUCAUUCCUGCCUUUCAUCAUAAGUCCAUUCCUCCUAGACUCUUCAAUUAUCCCCAGACUCCUACUUUGAACAUUUCCCAACUGGAUUGCACAAAGUAGUAAAGUUGGUCCAGAUUUGCUUUUUAAUACUAACAAAGACACUCGCUUAAUGAGUUUCUACUCCAGAUGAGGCCCUUUGCUAAGUACCUUCCAUACAUCUUCGCAAUAAUUCUAUAAAGUAGGAAUUUACAAAUAGGAAAACUGAGACUCUGUGAGUCCAGGAACUAGAAACUCAUUUCAUCACACAGAUAGUAACUGGGGAACCAGUACAUGACCAAUCUGAUCAUAAAGUCUGUGUCCUGCCUUAAACCUUCAUCAAGUGAUUCCUGACAACAGUCUGCACCAGAAUUACCUGAAAUACCUGAUAAAAUUUAGGCUUCUAGGCCCAGGCCAGAUCUUUUGAGUUAGUAUCUCUGAGGAAAAGAAUCAGCAAUAUACAUUUUUAACAAGGCUCCAAAAUGAUUCUUAGGCACACUGAAGUUUGAAAGUCACUAAACUGCAAGGCACAUAUUUUGUGUGUUGUUCUCCGUGUCUCAUCACCAAGCACAGUAUCUGGCUAAUAGAGAGUAAGUGCAGAUGAGCCUAAAUCAACAAGCCUACCAUAAGAAAAGGGUGUUGGUAUUGAUUCUGUGUCUUUGGCUCUCUAGGAAAAGGUUCUAUAAAAACACUAGGAGAGGGCUUCCCUGGUGGCGCAGUGGUUGAGAGUCCACCUGCCAAUGCAGGCAACACAGGUUCGUGCCCCGGUCCGGGAAGAUCCCA